AAAAACAUCGCCUUUGGAGGAAGAUCAUAAGGUUGGGCCUGCCCGGUGACUGUGAGUUAAACGGCUGCAGUACUCUGACUGUGCAAAGGUAGCAUAAUCAUUAGCCUGUUAAUUUCAGGCUGGAAUCAAUGGUUUGACGAUAGGAGAGCUGUCUCUUCUCAUAUUAUUUGAAUUUAGCAUUAAGGUGAAGAGACCUUAAUGAGGUAGCGGGACGAGAAGACCCUAUUGAACUUUAAUUUUGUUAAUGUUUGUGAAGAUGUUGGGAAAGUUUGAGUUGGGGCAACUGUUUUUAUUAAUAAGACAAAGAGUUAGAGAUUUAUUUCGAGAUUAGUGUGAGGACCCUAAUUAUUUAGGGAAAAGGAAAAAGUUACCAUAGGGAUAACAGCGUAAUUUCUUUUGAGAGUACGUAUUGACAAGGAAGUUUGCGACCUCGAUGUUGGAUCAAGACUACCUAAGGGUGUAGCGGCUCUUAAGGGUUGGUUUGUUCAACCAUGAAAGUCUUACGUGAUCUGAGUUCAGACCGG
rnacentral:rRNA from 1 species